UGGGUAGUCCGCACGAGCGCACCUUGCCCUAUGUUGCCAGCGGGUUAUGCCGGGGNACUCAUGGGGAACUGCCGGUGAUAAACCGGAGGAAGGUGGGGACGACGUCAAGUCAUCAUGGCCCUUACGCCCAGGGCUACACACGUGCUACAAUGGCCGGUACAAAGGGCUGCAAUCCCGCGAGGGGGAGCGAAUCCCAAAAAGCCGGUCUAAGUUCGGAUUGUAGUCUGCAACUCGACUGCAUGAAGUCGGAAUCGCUAGUAAUCGUGUAUCAGCAACGACACGGUGAAUACGUUCCCGGGCCUUGUACACACCGCCCGUCAAGCCAUGGAAGCCGGGAGUGCCCGAAGUCCGUGAUCCAACUUCGUGAGGAAGCGGCCGAAGGUAAGUUCGGUGACUGGGGCUAAGUCGUAACAAGGUAGCCGUAGGGGAACCUGCGGCUGGAUCACCUCCUUUCU
rnacentral:rRNA from 1 species